rnacentral:rRNA from 1 species
UCCCUGAGUAGAGUGGCAACGGGUGACUACACGUGGGUGACCUGCCUUCGAGUGGGGGAUAACGUUCCGAAAGGAACGCUAAUACCGCAUGACAUCCUGCUUUUGGAAAAGCGGAGAUCAAAGCUGGGGAUUCGCAAGAACCUAGCGCUUGAAGAGGGGCCCGCGCCUGAUUAGCUAGUUGGUGAGGUAACGGCUCACCAAGGCUACGAUCAGUAUCCGGCCUGAGAGGGCGGACGGACACACUGGGACUGAGACACGGCCCAGACUCCUACGGGAGGCAGCAGUGGGGAAUUGUUCGCAAUGGGCGCAAGCCUGACGACGCAACGCCGCGUGGAGGAUGAAGAUUUUCGGAUCGUAAACUCCUGUCGAGUGGGAAGAAUAGCUUUGGGGCGAAUAUCCCCGAGGUCUGACGGUACCACUAAAGGAAGCCCCGGCUAACUCCGUGCCAGCAGCCGCGGUAAUACGGGGGGGGCAAGCGUUGUUCGGAAUUACUGGGCGUAAAGGGCUCGUAGGCGGCCAACUAAGUCAGACGUGAAAUCCCCAGGCUCAACCUGGGAACUGCGUCUGAUACUGGAUGGCUUGAAUU